rnacentral:rRNA from 1 species
ACAUGCAAGUCGAACGAAGUAGCAAUACUUAGUGGCAGACGGGUGAGUAACAUGUAGGUAUCUUCCCAUUGGUGAGGAAUAACACGAGGAAACUUGUGCUAAUACCUCAUAAGUCUUUACGGAGAAAGCUUUAUGCGCCGAUGGAUGAGCCUGCACUUGAUUAGUUUGUUGGUAGGGUAAUGGCCUACCAAGACAAUGAUCAAUAGCUGAUUUGAGAGGAUGAUCAGCCACAUUGGGACUGAGACACGGCCCAAACUCCUACGGGAGGCAGCAGUAGGGAAUCUUGCACAAUGGGGGAAACCCUGAUGCAGCGAUGCCGCGUGAGUGAAGAAGGCCUUUGGGUUGUAAAGCUCUUUCGUCGGGGAAGAAAAUGACUGUACCCGAAUAAGAAGGUCCGGCUAACUUCGUGCCAGCAGCCGCGGUAAUACGAAGGGACCUAGCGUAGUUCGGAAUUACUGGGCUUAAAGAGUUCGUAGGUGGUUAAAAAAGUUGGUGGUGAAAUCCCAGAGCUUAACUCUGGAACUGCCAUCAAAACUUUUUAGCUAGAGUAUGAUAGAGGAAAGCAGAAUUUCUAGUGUAGAGGUGAAAUUCGUAGAUAUUAGAAAGAAUACCAAUUGCGAAGGCAGCUUUCUGGAUCAUUACUGACACUGAGGAACGAAAGCAUGGGUAGCGAAGAGGAUUAGAUACCCUCGUAGUCCAUGCCGUAAACGAUGUGUGUUAGACGUUGGAAAUUUAUUUUCUGUGUCGCAGCGAAAGCAAUAAACACACCGCCUGGGGAGUACGACCGCAAGGUUAAAACUCAAAUGAAUUGACGGGGACCCGCACAAGUAGUGGAGCAUGUGGUUUAAUUCGAAGAUACGCGCAGAACCUUACCAACACUUGACAUGUUCGUCGCGACUUUAAGAGAUUAAAGUUUUCGGUUCGGCCGGACGAAACACAGGUGCUGCAUGGCUGUCGUCAGCUCGUGUCGUG